rnacentral:tRNA from 2 species
GGGCCGGUAGUCUAGUGGUAGUGAUGCCUCGUUCGCAACGAGGAUGUCGGGGGUUCAAAUCCCCCUCGGUCCA